UACAGAGGUGGCUAGCGUUGUUCGGAAUCACUGGGCUUAAAGGGCGCGUAGGCGGCUUGCCAAGUCAGGGGUGAAAUCCUGCAGCUUAACUGUAGAAGGGCCUUUGAUACUGGCGAGCUCGAGGGAGGUAGGGGUAUGUGGAACUUCCGGUGGAGCGGUGAAAUGCGUUGAUAUCGGAAGGAACGCCGGUGGCGAAAGCGACGUACUGGACCUCUUCUGACGCUGAGGCGCGAAAGCUGGGGGAGCAAACGGG
rnacentral:rRNA from 1 species